rnacentral:rRNA from 1 species
AACUUUCAACAACGGAUCUCUUGGUUCCCACAUCGAUGAAGAACGCAGCGAAACGCGAUAGUUAUUGUGAAUUGCAGAAUUCAGUGAAUCAUCGAGUCUUUGAACGCACAUUGCGCCCAUUGGUAUUCCAUUGGGCAUGUCUGUUUGAGCGUCAUU